rnacentral:rRNA from 1 species
CAGUAGCCGCGGGAAUACGUAGGGUGCAAGCGUUAAUCGGAAUUACUGGGCGUAAAGCGUGCGUAGGCGGUUCGUUAAGUCUGUUGUGAAAGCCCCGGGCUCAACCUGGGAAUGGCAAUGGAUACUGGCGAGCUAGAGUGUGUCAGAGGAUGGUGGAAUUCCCGGUGUAGCGGUGAAAUGCGUAGAGAUCGGGAGGAACAUCAGUGGCGAAGGCGGCUUACUGGCUCAUUCUAGACGCUGAGGUGCGAAAGCGUGGGGAGCAAACAGGAUUAGAUACCCCUGUAGUCCCUGUCUCUUAUAC